CUAACAUGGAUAUCUCAGGAGGUCACUCUCGCUGGAUUCUGUCCAUGUGGCACAGGGAAGCACAGGGAUCCACCCCAUGAUGUACAGUCCCUUUUGAGUCUGCAUCUGCAGAUUCCUACAACUUCUCAGAGUCCUGCUGAUGAUGACUGAGGACACAAACCGUGCAGGAAACAUUG
rnacentral:snoRNA from 1 species